rnacentral:rRNA from 1 species
GAUGAACGCUGGCGGCGUGCCUAAUACAUGCCAGUCGAACGGAAGCACAGUAAGAUCUUUCUCUUACUGGUUGCGAGGGGCGGGCGGGUGACGAAUGCAUCGCAAUCUACUAUUUCGGGGAGGAUUUCGUAAGGAAAGUUACACUAACACAGCAUACUAUGUACCGUUGAAUUCAGAUGAGCUUUGCACUUUGCGCGAUUGAAUAAGCCGAUGUCGGAUUAGAUAGUUGGGGGGGUAAAGGCACACCAAGGCGACGCACCGUAGCUGCUCCGAGAGGAUGAUCGGCCACACUGGAACUGAGACACGGUCCAGACUCCUACGGGAGGCAGCAGUGGGGAAUCUUGGACAAUGGGCGAAAGCCUGAUGCAGCAAUACCGCGUGGGUGAAGAAGGUCUUCGGGUUGUAAAACCCUUUUGUUGGGAAAGAAAAGCAGCAGAGUAAAAACUCGACGUUCUGACGGUACCUAAACAGAAAGCAACGGCUAACUACGUG